rnacentral:rRNA from 1 species
ACGGAGGAUCCAAGCGUUAUCCGGAUUUAUUGGGUUUAAAGGGUGCGUAGGCGGGCCCUUAAGUCAGUGGUGAAAGUUUGCAGCUUAACUGUAAAAUUGCCAUUGAAACUGAGGGUCUUGAGUGUAAAUAAGGUAGGCGGAAUGUGUUGUGUAGCGGUGAAAUGGUUAGAUAUAUCACGGAGCACCAAUAGCGAAGGCAGCUUACUGAGAUUUAACUGACGCUGAGGCGCGAGAGCGUGGGGUUAAGAGAG